GAAAUGCGAUAAGUAGUGUGAAUUGCAGAAUUCAGUGAAUCAUCGAAUCUUUGAACGCACAUUGCGCCCCUUGGUAUUCCAUGGGGCAUGCCUGUUCGCGCGUCAUUUUUACCCUACAGCUUUGCUUGGUGUUGCGCGUCUUGUCCUCUUCUGGACGACUCGCCUCAAAACAAUUGGCAGCCUGCAUAUUGGUAUCGGAGCGCAGCACAAGUCGCACUUUGUUCCAUGAAUGUUGGCAUCCAUCAAGACCAUUUUUUCACUCUUGACCUCGGAUCAGGUAGGGAUACCUGCUGAACUUAA
rnacentral:misc_RNA from 1 species